GUGCCUGUAGCUCAGUUGGUAGAGCAUGGUGUUUGCAACACCAGGGUUGUGGGUUCGUUUCCCACGGGGGGCC
rnacentral:tRNA from 1 species